AGUGAACGCUGGCGGCAGGCCUAAUACAUGCAAGUCGAACGGCAGCACAGUGGCGCUUGCUCCAUGGGUGGCGAGUGGCGGACGGGUGAGGAAUACAUGGGAAUCUGCCCAGUCGUGGGGGAUAACGUAGGGAAACUUACGCUAAUACCGCAUGCGCCCUUCGGGGGAAAGCCGGGGACCUUCGGGCCUGGCGCGAUUGGAUGAGCCCAUGUUCGAUUAGCUAGUUGGCGGGGUAAAGGCCCACCAAGGCGACGAUCGAUAGCUGGUCUGAGAGGAUGAUCAGCCACACUGGGACUGAGACACGGCCCAGACUCCUACGGGAGGCAGCAGUAGGGAAUAUUGGACAAUGGGCGCAAGCCUGAUCCAGCCAUGCCGCGUGAGUGAAGAAGGCCCUCGGGUUGUAAAGCUCUUUUGUCCGGGAAGAAAAGCAUCGGGCUAAUACCUCGGUGUUCUGACGGUACCGGAAGAAUAAGCACCGGCUAACUUCGUG
rnacentral:rRNA from 1 species